UACGUAGGGUGCGAGCGUUGUCCGGAAUUACUGGGCGUAAAGGGCGCGUAGGCGGCCUGUUAAGUCGGACGUGAAAUCCCUCGGCUCAACCGGGGAACUGCGUCUGAUACUGGCGGGCUUGAAUUCGGGAGAGGGAUGUGGAAUUCCAGGUGUAGCGGUGAAAUGCGUAGAUAUCUGGAGGAACACCAGAGGCGAAGGCGACUUCCUGGACAAUUGCUGACGCUCAGGCACGAAAGCAAUGGGGAGCAAAAGGG
rnacentral:rRNA from 1 species